AGUUAUUUAGCUUAUAUAAUAAAGCCUAUAUUUUGAAAAUAUAAGAAAGAGGGUAAAUUUAAUAACUU
rnacentral:tRNA from 1 species